rnacentral:rRNA from 1 species
UACCAGCACCCCGAGUGGUCGGGACGAUUAUUGGGCCUAAAGCAUCCGUAGCCGGUUCUACAAGUCUUCCGUUAAAUCCACCUGCUUAACAGAUGGGCUGCGGAGGAUACUAUGGAGCUAGGAGGCGGGAGAGGCAAGCGGUACUUAGUGGGUAGGGGUAAAAUCCGUUGAUCCAUUGAAGACCACCAGUGGCGAAAGCGGCUUGCCAGAACGCACUCGACGGUGAGGGAUGAAAGCUGGGGGAGCAAACCGG